rnacentral:sRNA from 1 species
AACAUUGAACGAUUCGAAGAGUUAUUAUUGUGAAUAUUUUUUUAAAAAUAUGUUCAAGAAUAUUAACUUCAAAUUUGUUCAUAUAACAAAUGUAUAUACGGUGGCUUUUUAAAUUUUUAAUUUUAGAAAUGUCAAUCCAUAUAUAUCACAGAGAA